rnacentral:lncRNA from 1 species
AGGAUUGAGCUCACAUCAACAGGCCUAGCAGCAAGCAGCAUCACCUUGAACAAUGUCAGCAGCCUCAGUUUCCCUUUUCCUAUGUUAUAUCUGCUAGUUUUGAGCCUCCAGGUUCAACUCAGGUUCAAGGAGAGCUGGCGGCCUGGGUCUCAUUGACCCUUCUGCAUGAAAGAGCGGACGGGAAUUUGUGAGCUCAUGCACUCAGAGCCACCUCUGCCAUUAGUGGGUGUGGAAGCAAUGCUCUAACGUUGUACAGAAACCCCAAGUCCAACAGAGAGGCGAUUUUCUAAACGGUUUAGUUCAGUCGUAGGCCUGGAAAACCAAGCUGUCUCCUUUGUCCCUGCGUCUGUCACUGGGAUAGCAAAUUUAUUAAUAAAAUGCUUUGAGAAGAUCUUAUUUCUCUGUGGAUAUCUGCUACCGCAUUGGAUUUCUGCUGGACGAUUUCCUGUUCAGCGUCUCCAUUUUAAGUGGGAUCCUUUGCAGCGUCCUGGCUGUGUUGAAGUUCAUGCUGGGGAAGGUCCUGACAAGCAGAGCUCUCAUCACGGAUGGGUUCAACUCCCUUGUUGGGGGAGUGAUGGGCUUCUCUAUCCUUCUAAGUGCGGAAGUGUUCAAACACAAUGCAGCAGUCUGGUACCUGGACGGCAGCAUCGGUGUCCUGAUCGGUCUCACCAUCUUUGCCUACGGG